rnacentral:rRNA from 1 species
UACAUGGGGUGCAAACGUUGCUCGGAAUCAUUGGGCGUAAAGCGCGCGUAGGCGGUUACUUAAGUCGAAUGUGAAAGCCCUCGGCUUAACUGAGGAAGUGCAUCCGAAACUGAGUAGCUAGAGUACGAAAGAGGGUCGCGGAAUUCCCGGUGUAGAGGUGAAAUUCGUAGAUAUCGGGAGGAACACCGGUGGCGAAGGCGGCGCUCUGGACCGAGACUGACGCUGAGGCGCGAAAGCGUGGGGAGCAAACAGG